ACUCCUACGGGAGGCAGCAGUAGGGAAUCUUCCACAAUGGGCGCAAGCCUGAUGGAGCAACACCGCGUGAGUGAAGAAGGGUUUCGGCUCGUAAAGCUCUGUUGUUAAAGAAGAACACGUAUGAGAGUAACUGUUCAUACGUUGACGGUAUUUAACCAGAAAGUCACGGCUAACUACGUGCCAGCAGCCGCGGUAAUACGUAGGUGGCAAGCGUUAUCCGGAUUUAUUGGGCGUAAAGAGAGUGCAGGCGGUUUUCUAAGUCUGAUGUGAAAGCCUUCGGGCUUAACCGGGAGAAGUGCAUCGGAAACUGGAUAACUUGAGUGCAGAAGAGGGUAGUGGGAACUCCAUGUGUAGCGGUGGAAUGCGUAGAUAUAUGGAAGAACACCAGUGGCGAAGGCGGCUACCUGGUCUGCAACUGACGCUGAGACUCGAAAGCAUGGGGUAGCGAACAGGAUUAGAUACCCUGGUAGGAUAGCG
rnacentral:rRNA from 1 species